rnacentral:rRNA from 1 species
ACUAGAAUGAACGGCUAAAUGAAGACUAAACUGUCUCUUGUAGGCUACCUAUGAAACUGAUCUUUUAGUCAAAAAGCUAAAAUUUUCCCACAAGACGAGAAGACCCUGUGGAGCUUAAAACCAAAAUCAUAUAAUGACCCUCUGGUUUUUAGUUGGGGCGACUUCGGAGUACAAAAAACCCUCCGACCACAGCACUACCUAAUAGAUCAACAAAUCAAAGUGCACUCAUGACCCAGUAACCACAGCUAACUGAUUAAUGAACCAAGUUACCCCAGGGAUAACAGCGCUAUCCUCUUCUAGAGUCCUUAUCGACAAGGGGGCUUACGACCUCGAUGUUGGAUCAGGACACCCUAAUAGUGCAGCCGCUAUUGAGG